rnacentral:snRNA from 1 species
AGCUUUGUGCAGUGGUGGUAUCGUAACCAAUGAGGUUUAUCCGAGGCGCGAUUAUUGCUAACUGAAACUUUCUUCUCUUUGGAAGACUUUCUCUCCUUCUUGGGAUUGCCAAUUUCUUUUCAAAACUUCCUGGUU